GACGUAGGGCGCGAGCGUUGUCCGGAUUUAUUGGGCGUAAAGCGCGUGUAGGCGGCUUUGCAAGUCGGGUGUGAAAGCCCUCAGCUCAACUGAGGAAGUGCGCCCGAAACUGCAGAGCUUGAGUACCGGAGAGGAUGGUGGAAUUCCCCAAGUAGAGGUGAAAUUCGUAGAUAUGGGGAGGAACACCGGUGGCGAAGGCGACCAUCUGGACGGAUACUGACGCUGAGACGCGAAAGCGUGGGUAGCAAACGAGG
rnacentral:rRNA from 1 species